UGUGUGUGUGCGUGUUUGUUCAAGUAGUGGACAAAGGCAGGUUGACAGGUACAAACAUACAUUGUUUCUACAUGCAACCCAGAAUUCAUUGCUCAGUAUGAGUUUUGAUAUGUAUCUGAAAAAAAAAU